CACUGAAGAAAGGAACUGGAAAA
rnacentral:piRNA from 1 species